AAUUUUUUUAUUUUUCCUUUUCUUUUUUAGCUUUUAAGCAGUACCAGAUGUUGAAAGAACUUUCUCUGAUUGGUGUCCAGAGAAAACAAAAAGCAUGUAUCACUUCAGGCCUGACCUGCAGAAGGAGAAAAUGGACUCUACAAAGGCUGCCAGAAUUAAACACACUACAGAUGGACAUGGAGUUAACUCUUUCUGCCACGUGAGGAUGCAGUAACAAGAGGCCACCUUGAAAGCACAGAGCACCCCCACCAGCCACCAAAUCUGCUGAGGACUUGAUCUUCAACUUCCCAGCCUCCAGAGCUCUAAGGAAUAAAUUUUUCUUUUUAUAAA